ACCUGCAGUUCAUCUUUGGUUUCCCACUGAAGCUAAGCAGCAUUAAGCCUGGGCAGUACCUGGAUGGGAAACCUCCUAGGGAAAAUUAAGGCUGCUGCUGGAA
rnacentral:rRNA from 1 species